GCCUAGUUAGCUUAGUUGGUAGUGCGUCUGCCUUGUAAGCGCUAGGCCGCGGGUUCGAUUCCCGCCCGGGUCG
rfam:Asian citrus Psyllid, Diaphorina citri - Florida Strain, whole genome shotgun sequence.